CACUCACAGAGGCUGAAGAGAUGGCCCUCAGUCAAAACAGUGGGCGACCUAUUGCUGAAGGCAUCUCUGGAGGAAGCUCAUCUGACCCAACCACCCCCCAGGACACAAGGGCCUACAUAAGAGUUACUGAUGGUGUAACCUGUCUGGUGGAGCCUUCUGCCAUAACAGACCUCCAUGCAGUUGAGGAUGAUGAUGAAGACACCUUGUCAGCUGCCACAGAGAGGGAAGAUACAGAGAGACCUAUUGAGGUUCACACCUUAAAAGUAACAUCUAACAGUUGAUGAUAGUGUUGUACCAUAAUAAAACUUGCACAUUCUUUUUCUCUAAGAGCGAAAAAGAUGCUGGAAAUUACAGUGAGGAAGAGGGUCCAUCCACCUCCACAGCACAACUUACCUCAGUAAGAUGUUGUUCAGCAUUGGCCCAUGACUUACAAUGAAACUAAGUCGACCUGGCACUGUGAAAUUCAAUGUCAUUUUUUUGUGUUCCUAUAGCUCCCUGUGAAACAGCUGUACAAGGUGUACUUAAAUAAACAAAUUGAAAAAUGUAAUUUAGAAAUGGACCACAUAAGGCUGCAGAUGCGAAAGGCAAAACUAGAAAUACAACUGCUGGAACAUCAGUUAAAGGUGGGUGAGAUGCCCACAGGUGGAUGAUGUUACUUGUUUGAACAACAUAAAAAAUAUUAACUACUGUACUGCAUUUGUACUUGCA